rnacentral:rRNA from 1 species
AUUGAACGCUGGCGGCAUGCCUUACACAUGCAAGUCGAACGGCAGCACGGGAGCAAUCCUGGUGGCGAGUGGCGAACGGGUGAGUAAUAUAUCGGAACGUGCCCAGUCGUGGGGAUAACGUAGCGAAAGCUACGCUAAUACCGCAUACGAUCUAUGGAUGAAAGCGGGGGAUCGCAAGACCUCGCGCGAUUGGAGCGGCCGAUAUCAGAUUAGUAGUUGGUGAGGUAAAGGCUCACCAAGCCGACGAUUUGUAGCUGGUCUGAGAGGACGACCAGCCACACUGGGACUGAGACACGGCCCAGACUCCUACGGGAGGCAGCAGUGGGGAAUUUUGGGACAAUGGGCGCAAGCCUGAUCCAGCAAUGCCGCGUGCAGGAUGAAGGCCUUCGGUUGUAACGU